GUGGAUUACCGUGGCUGGGUGUAGGCGUAGUGACCCUUACCAGCCACCGUAUCAUCUGCUGAAGUUGCCGGCGGCACAUGCGCACUUUGUUGUUUACAGCCAAAACUUUUUUGAAGCUAAAGCUGAAAUAAUGGCCAAAGGAGGAGACCGCAGUGCUCAGGACAUUUAUUAUCCCUCAAAGACGACAAAGAGGGAAGUAUGGGCAUAUUUUGGAUAUUUGAAGAAUGCCGAGGGACAGUUGAUAGAAGACGGCUAUCCUGUUUGCAGCACGUGCAGAAAAAGUGUCUGUGAAAGGCAGCAACGCUUCAAAUCUCAUGACACAUCUGCGUGACCAUCACCCACAACUCUACAGUCAACGCAAGGCAAGUUAGCGUUAGCGUUUUAGCUAAAAUGCGUGAUCCGAGGAUUUGGGUUGAGGGAGAAUGCAACGAGUGGCCUCAUAAAGCAGCCGCAGCGCCGCUACCUGCAUAUAAACCGUGUCGCGGACACCCCCAUGUUGAAAUGACGCUAUGCAUUACGGGGCUCCCAGGGGCAGAUAAGAGUUGGUCUCUCUCCGAGAAUAAUAAUGAAUUUAAGAAUGAUUGCUGCCUGAUGACAUUUUCCCACAUCUGCAAAGCUCACUGGAAGGACACAAACCGAGGACAAUAUUUUCCUGAUACAGGGUUUAUUACUCAAGUUAGGGUAAAAAAAAAGUAUCUGAUUAGAAGGCUACUUAAGUACUGAGUAUCAUCUGAUCUAAUAUUUUUAAAUGAUGACAUCAAACAGACAAAAAAUAAGAAGUUAUGGGCAAAUAUUGGUAUUUUAAAGACUAAAGGGGAAAUAUGUAAACAAAUAAACAACAUAAUUACAAAAUAACAAAUUGUAGGCAAAAUUUAGACAAACUGAGGACAAUAUUUUCCUGAUAUACAGGGUUUAUUUAGUUUCUUGAAAAUUUAACAUGUUUAAAAAAAUACCGCAAUAAUACUAUAAACCGUGAUAAUUUUGGUCACAAUAACCGUGAGGUUAAAUUUUCACAACGUGACAACCCUAGUUUGAGGUUGUCACCAUCUGUCAAGGGGAAAGAGUAAUAAGACAUAAUUAGGAUGCAGUUUAAGUUUUAAUAACUUUUAUUUCUAUCUAAUAAAUUUCUAACUUUCCCUUCAUGUAAAGAUACAGAAUACAUUCUUAGUGAGUGUAAACUAGUGUCUGAUUCAGCUUUUUAGCUUUCAGUGCAGUUUUAAAUAUUUGAAAGAAUUCUAUUACACUAAUGUCCGUCUGUGAACAUCAGAGUGGUAGAGGACAAACGAAUCUUCAUGAGAAACAUUUUUAACUUCAUUUGUCCAUGCAGCUCUUUAACUCGCUCCAACUCCAGUUACUAAUCCAUCCCAACUAGAGGAAGCUGUUUUUAUUCUGAGACGGCCAUGGUGAGUUUAGUUAGAGAUGUAGAUCAUUUCACAGACAGCAGCAGCAUUUGGCAUAUCAUCAGUAAAGUAAAAUGUGAUCAUGAACAUGAGUAAUUAUUUCAUUUUUUCAGUUAAGCCACAUGAUGCUGACUUCCGUGACCUGCUGAAGCAUGCUACACACUCAGGAUAACCAUGGUAACACGACGUGUCUUCCAGAAUAACCAGAGCUGAAUCAGGACGUCUGAACAACAGAACCUUCACAACGUUGGUACUUACUGCAGGACUGUUCAUUUGCAUCUGUUAAAUAAUUUACCACUUACGGUCAGGUUGGGAUUAGAGUCUUUACUUGAAGACAGAACAAGAAGAAUUAUUAACAAUGAAAUAGCAGCAUAAAUAAAUAACUAGAUCAUUAAUUAAAAAGUUUCAGGUCAAACUGCUGCCUUUGCAUUCAUGUCCAUCUUCAUGUAUUCACAUGAUCCUGAGUGGUGAUGAGCAACAAUCAGUUGGGUGGAAGCAGCUGGUCUGGUCAGUGAUGGAGUAAAUGCUGAGAGAGGGAUCCUCUAGUCCUGAAGAAGUCUGGAGCUUGCUGAGCUCACUGAAGCAGAAGUUCUUUUGUGGGGUCUCGUGAGACUAAAACAUGUCAAUGCCUGACUGAAAAUGUUUGUGCAGGUUGAACUUAUCACACAGUUUUCUGUUAUUAUGAUCUCUGGCUUUGAAUGAAGAAAUAAAUAAAAAAUGUUUUUCUUUUUUGACU